rnacentral:lncRNA from 1 species
AGUAAAUAGAAAUCUAUGAAAUUUUGACACAAGGUUAAUGACCACAAAAGGAAGGUUGGGAUUGAUUUUGGGAGUUUUGGUUGCAACAGUUUAGGAAUUAGGGGCCAAAAAAGGGCCCAAAUAAGCAUUAUUCCUGGUUUUCGCACUAUAACUUUAGUAUAAGUAAAUAGAAAUCAAUGAAAUUUAAACACAAGGUUUAUGACCACA